UGAGAGCCCAAGACUUUAAAUAAUGAGAGAAAACCCUACUCUCAUUUUCUCUUCUCACUCCCUGCGCCUCCUCUCUCUCCCAACGUCUCUCUCUCAUUCUCCCAACUCCCUCAGCCUCGCCGGAAAUUGCCACCGCCGGUCACACCGGCGUCGUCUCCCUUACCCCCUUCUUCCUCUCCCCUCUCCCUCUCUACCAUGAAUUCAGCCAGCUCGAGCUUGAGCUCGGCCUCGUGCUGUUCGUGCAGCGCCGCCAGCCGCCGCCCUUCGCCGUUGCCGCUGCAUACACGGCGGUCUAGCCGCCGUCGCCAUCCGCCGUCGACCAAGAGAGUUGUAGAAACAGAUAGAUCGUGAAAAGAGGAUCGAAAAUAAAUGAAUUUCGUUGUUGCUCGCCGGACAGCCACCGGAACGCCGCCGGACAGCCGCCGGAGCUCCGUCGACGUCGCCGGGCAGAAUCUUCGGCUUGAGGAUCAUGAUUUGAAGAAAUAGGAUGACAUCUAAAGAGUGUAGCUUUGGUUCUCCGGGAAGCUAUUAUUCUUCUUUGUAUAGAUAUAGAAACAUGUAGUAUUUUUCUCACUUGUAUAGAAGACACUCUAUUAUGUAUAAAUAAACAUUCAAUAUCUAUUUCUACUAUAAUUGUAUAUGGACAAUUAUUUCAUAA